rnacentral:rRNA from 1 species
UACGUAGGGGGCAAGCGUUGUCCGGAUUUAUUGGGCGUAAAGAGCGUGUAGGCGGCUUUACAGGUCCGUUGUGAAAACUCGAGGCUCAACCUCGAGACGCCGGUGGAAACCGUAAAGCUAGAGUCCGGAAGAGGAGAGUGGAAUUCCUGGUGUAGCGGUGAAAUGACGCAGAUAUCAGGAAGAACACCAAUGGCGAAGGCAGCUCUCUGGGACGGUACUGACACUGAGACGCGAAAGCGUGGGGAGCGAACAGG